rnacentral:snRNA from 1 species
GGAUAUGUGGAAGUUCUGGCUAUGACAUCUGUAGCCUCACUGAUGGCCAGGGUUGAUUUGGCUGAUCUGGCUGGCUAGGUGGGUGUCCCUUUCCUCCCUCACUGGUUCAUGUGCAGCCCUCCUGAAGUUUUAUGCUGCAUGGAAGAGGACAAACUUCCCCCAUGGAGGAGGACUAUUUUUUGGUUAAGUGUAUGUGCACAUCCCUGUUAGAAGCUUCAGCGCUAGCUGCAUUUUAAAUCAGAACUUUGGGUGGCACAAAAUCUUUAGAGCUAUGAAGGAGGUGAAGAAUUU